UGAAAAUUUUUUUUUUGUGGUUCGUGAUUUUUUUCUUUUACACUAGAAGAUUUUUUAUAUAAAUCUUAAUAUGUUUUAUUUUUCUCAUGUUAUUGAUUGUUAUUUCUAUGGAUUUAUUACAAUAUAUUAUUUUUGUGUUAUUAUGUUUGUUACAUUAGGUCCAACACAUUAGACAAUGAUGAAGGAAGCAAUGAGAAUCUUUCUCCUCUUUCCCGUUAAUGAAUAGCAUUUCGAGGCUCGUUCCAAAGCUUUACUGACCACCCUUUCCUUGUCAAAGUUUCCUUUAAAAAUGGCUAAGUUACAUGUGAUCCAUGUCUCCCAUAAAAGUCAUAUGAAAACGACAAUCCAGGGCACUUUAUGUAAGUAGAACCAAUGUUUGGAUGUGGCAUUGGCUCGAUCCCAGUCCCCCUAGUUGGUAGAUUGAGCAAGAGGAAUAUGGGCACUAUAAUAACCUUGUUCCUACCAUUUUUGCACCAUUAUACACUCGUAGAACAGGCGUGACAUAGUUUCCCUGUGCUGCAUGCAAAACGCGCAAGCCUCCUGGAUUUACAUGCCUCGUGUUAAACCUGCCCUAUUAGUAGGGGUAAGAGCAAAAUUUAGACCAAUCCAUUGGUUGCUUGCAUGAUAUAUCCUGUCGAGAUUUGGGUAUUUGCCUUGCGUGGAUAAUGAAUUGAGGAAUACUAAUAUAAUUCAAUUAAGUCGUGAUUGUCGAAUUACAUAAAUCGUGAUGCAUAUGGGUUUUGAUCAUACUUUUGCGUCUUUCACUAGUCUGUGAAUCACCAGAAUCGUGACGGAUUUGACUUUCCUUUGCAAUUUAGUUCACCCAAUCAUAAAAAAUGCAUCAGUUACGCUAGAUUGAUAUCAGUGCGAAACGUCUGCUUCAAUGCUAGAUUUGUAUCAGCAUGAAACAUGUGUUUCAGGAAUAAUUGUACGAUGUUGCUGCGGCAGUUCCAAGCAAAGAAUCUUAAUAAAGAAAUGGUAAGGGCAGUCAUUUUUCCGUCACUUUUGUAUACUUGAACAAAUAUAGCUUCUCGUCAUCGAAGUUUUAAGUUUAAAAAUCUGUCACCAAUUAUUUCGGUAAAAUUUAUCUUGCUUUUUUUAUUGAAGGAGUGAAAGCGAGGUUGUUGU
rnacentral:lncRNA from 1 species